rnacentral:lncRNA from 1 species
UUGAACCCUGUCUCUUGGAAAUAUGUGUCUCCCCAAGGACCGUGAAGGUUUAGGCCCUGUUUGGUAGGCUAGACUGGACUGGAUUAGAUAUAUUACACAGGACUGGUUAGGAUAUGACUGGAUUUUAAGUAGUUGUUUGGUGCAAUAAACACCAAGUUGAGAUUGUAGGACUGGAACAAAAAUAGCAAAAUUAAAAAAAAUACAAAAUAAUUAAAAUAAUGAAUACAAUUCUCAAAAAUGAAAUUUGACUAAUCUACCAGUCAGAAUUGCAAGUCCCCCAUAAGAUCUCAAGAACAAAUCAGAUCAGCAAGAAUCGCAAGGUCUCAAGAACAAACUAGAUCAGACAGCAAGAAUCGCAAGGCUCCUCCUUAAAAUCAGAUCUCAAGCUUGGCCGGAUCGACUGGAAGAUACGAUGAUCUGUGCAAUGCCAAUGAGAUAAGAGUGGCUGUGAAACGACGCCGUCGGGUUGACUUGAAGAUAUGGCAAAGAGAGAGAGAGAGAGAGAGAGAGAGAGAGAGCAUCAAACCAAACCAGAGCAAGUUCUCACGAAUCAAAGAAGGAGGAGGUGUGCUCGCAAGACGACUUGGCUGGCUUCGAAACCCAUGUCUACCGAUAGGUUCUAGAGCCCUUGCUAUUAUGGACUAGUGUCCAAUAACCACAUCCAGUCCAUGAUACAUUAUAAGCUUACCAAACAAUGGCUAGGACCCAUGUCCAUUUUAAUUGAAAAAGUCUCAUCCAGUCCAACCCACCAAACAUGGCCUUAGCGGUUAGAAUUACUAACCAUUUUAACCUUGC